rnacentral:rRNA from 1 species
AGCGAACGCUGGCAGCAGGCCUAACACAUGCAAGUCGAGCGGACGUAGCAAUACGUCAGCGGCAGACGGGAGAGUAACACGUGGGAACGCGCCCUUCGGUUCGGGAUAACUCAGGGAAACUUGGGCUAAUACCGGAUACGCCCUUACGGGGAAAGAUUUAUUGCCGAAGGAACGGCCCGCGUCCGAUUAGCUUGUUGGUGGGGUAAAGGCCUACCAAGCCAAUGAUCUGUAGCUGGUCUGAGAGGAUGAUCAGCCACACUGGGACUGAGACACGGCCCAGACUCCUACGGGAGGCAGCAGUGGGGAAUAUUGGACAAUGGGGGAAACCCUGAUCCAGCAAUGCCGCGUGAAUGAAGAAGGCCUUCGGGUUGUAAAGUUCUUUCACCUGUGAAGAUAAUGACGGUAGCAGGAGAAGAAGCCCCGGCUAACUCCGUGCCAGCAGCCGCCGUAAGAC